rnacentral:rRNA from 1 species
CGGUAGAGUUUGUAUCCUCGGCGUCAGGAUGAACGCUGGCGGCGUGCCUAACACAUGCAAGUCGAACGGGGCGUAUGCAGCGGAGCUUCGGGCGGAAGCAGCAUACAGGCCUAGUGGCGGACGGGUGGAGUAACGCGUGGGUAACCUGCCCUGUACAGGGGGACAACAGCUGAAACGGCUGCUAAUACCGCAUAAGCCCGCGGUGCCGCAUGGCGCUGCGGGGAAAACUCCGGUGGUACAGGAUGGGCCCGCGUCUGAUUAGCUAGUUGGCGGGGUAACGGCCCACCAAGGCAGCGAUCAGUAGCCGGCUUGAGAGAGCGGACGGCCACAUUGGGACUGAGACACGGCCCAGACUCCUACGGGAGGCAGCAGUGGGGAAUAUUGCACAAUGGGGGGAACCCUGAUGCAGCAACGCCGCGUGGGUGAAGAAGUAUUUCGGUAUGUAAAGCCCUAUCAGCAGGGAAGAAAGUGACGGUACCUGACUAAGAAGCUCCGGCUAAAUACGUG